rnacentral:rRNA from 1 species
UUGCUUGGUGGAUCAGUGGCGAACGGGUGAGUAACACGUGAGCAACCUGCCCUGGACUCUGGGAUAAGCGCUGGAAACGGUGUCUAAUACUGGAUAUGAGCUCUCAUCGCAUGGUGGGGGUUGGAAAGAUUUUUCGGUCUGGGAUGGGCUCGCGGCCUAUCAGCUUGUUGGUGAGGUAAUGGCUCACCAAGGCGUCGACGGGUAGCCGGCCUGAGAGGGUGACCGGCCACACUGGGACUGAGACACGGCCCAGACUCCUACGGGAGGCAGCAGUGGGGAAUAUUGCACAAUGGGCGGAAGCCUGAUGCAGCAACGCCGCGUGAGGGAUGACGGCCUUCGGGUUGUAAACCUCUUUUAGCAGGGAAGAAGCGAGAGUGACGGUACCUGCAGAAAAAGCGCCGGCUAACUACGUGCCAGCAGCCGCGGUAAUACGUAGGGCGCAAGCGUUAUCCGGAAUUAUUGGGCGUAAAGAGCUCGUAGGCGGUUUGUCGCGUCUGCUGUGAAAUCCCGAGGCUCAACCUCGGGCCUGCAGUGGGUACGGGCAGACUAGAGUGCGGUAGGGGAGAUUGGAAUUCCUGGUGUAGCGGUGGAAUGCGCAGAUAUCAGGAGGAACACCGAUGGCGAAGGCAGAUCUCUGGGCCGUAACUGACGCUGAGGAGCGAAAGGGUGGGGAGCAAACAGGCUUAGAUACCCUGGUAGUCCACCCCGUAAACGUUGGGAACUAGUUGUGGGG